GGCGAUGUAGCUCAGCUGGCUAGAGCGUUCGGUUCAUACCCGAAAGGUCGGGGGUUCGAUCCCCUCCGUCGCUACCA
rnacentral:tRNA from 1 species